UAGGGAAUCUUCCGCAAUGGGCGAAAGCCUGACGGAGCAACGCCGCGUGAGUGAUGAAGGUCUUCGGAUCGUAAAACUCUGUUAUUAGGGAAGAACAAAUGUGUAAGUAACUAUGCACGUCUUGACGGUACCUAAUCAGAAAGCCACGGCUAACUACGUGCCAGCAGCCGCGGUAAUACGUAGGUGGCAAGCAUUAUCCGGAAUUAUUGGGCGUAAAGCGCGCGUAGGCGGUUUUUUAAGUCUGAUGUGAAAGCCCACGGCUCAACCGUGGAGGGUCAUUGGAAACUGGAAAACUUGAGUGCAGAAGAGGAAAGUGGAAUUCCAUGUGUAGCGGUGAAAUGCGCAGAGAUAUGGAGGAACACCAGUGGCGAAGGCGACUUUCUGGUCUGUAACUGACGCUGAUGUGCGAAAGCGUGGGGAUCAAACAGG
rnacentral:rRNA from 1 species